AUGGCAUCAUGAGUCCGCAUGUUCACAGUGAUUAAAGGGUAUUCCGGUAGACGAUGGGGAUGCGUUCCAUUAGAUAGUAGGCGGGGUAACGGCCCACCUAGUCUUCGAUGGAUAGGGGUUCUGAGAGGAAGGUCCCCCACAUUGGAACUGAGACACGGUCCAAACUCCUACGGGAGGCAGCAGUGGGGAAUAUUGGUCAAUGGACGAGAGUCUGAACCAGCCAAGUAGCGUGCAGGAAGACGGCCCUAUGGGUUGUAAACUGCUUUUAUAAGGGAAUAAAGUGAGUCUCGUGAGACUUUUUGCAUGUACCUUAUGAAUAAGGACCGGCUAAUUCCGUG
rnacentral:rRNA from 1 species